rnacentral:rRNA from 1 species
AUUGAACGCUGGCGGCAGGCCUAACACAUGCAAGUCGAACGAGUGGCGGACGGGUGAGUAAUGUUUGGGAAACUGCCUGCUGGCGGGGGAUAACUACUGGAAACGGUAGCUAAUACCGCAUACCAUCGGAUGUGCCCAGAUGGGAUUAGCUAGUAGGUGGUGUAAAGGAUCACCUAGGCGACGAUCCCUAGCUGGUCUGAGAGGAUGACAAGACAGACGGGAACUGAGACACGGUCCAGACUCCUACGGGAGGCAGCAGUGGGGAAUAUUGCACAAUGGGCGAAAGCCUGAUGCAGCCAUGCCGCGUGGAUGAAGAAGGGAUUCGGGUUGUAAAGUACUUUCAGCGGGGAGGCGUUACCCGCAGAAGAAGCACCGGCUAACUCCGUGCCAGCAGCCGCGGUAAUUC